UCCGGGCGCCCAACCUCCCACCCUUGACUACCUAACACUGUUGCUUCGGCGGGGAGCCCUCUCGGGGGCGAGCCGCCGGGGACUACUGAACUUCAUGCCUGAGAGUGAUGCAGUCUGAGUCUGAAUAUAAAAUCAGUCAAAACUUUCAACAAUGGAUCUCUUGGUUCCGGCAUCGAUGAAGAACGCAGCGAACUGCGAUAAGUAAUGUGAAUUGCAGAAUUCAGUGAAUCAUCGAGUCUUUGAACGCACAUUGCGCCCCCUGGCAUUCCGGGGGGCAUGCCUGUCCGAGCGUCAUUGCUGCCCAUCAAGCCCGGCUUGUGUGUUGGGUCGUCGUCCCCCCCGGGGGACGGGCCCGAAAGGCAGCGGCGGCACCGUGUCCGGUCCUCGAGCGUAUGGGGCUUUGUCACCCGCUCGAUUAGGGCCGGCCGGGCGCCAGCCGACGUCUCCAACCAUUUUUUUCAGGUUGACCUCGGAUCAGGUAGGGAUACCCGCUGAACUUAAGCAUAUCAAUAAGCGGAGGAAAAGAAACCAACCGGGAUUGCCCCAGUAACGGCGAGUGAAGCGGCAAGAGCUCAAAUUUGAAAUCUGGCCCCUCCGGGGUCCGAGUUGUAAUUUGCAGAGGAUGCUUCGGGUGCGGCCCCUGUCUAAGUGCCCUGGAACGGGCCGUCAGAGAGGGUGAGAAUCCCGUCUUGGGCAGGGUGCCCGUGCCCGUGUGAAGCUCCUUCGACGAGUCGAGUUGUUUGGGAAUGCAGCUCUAAAUGGGUGGUAAAUUUCAUCUAAAGCUAAAUACCGGCCGGAGACCGAUAGCGCACAAGUAGAGUGAUCGAAAGAUG
rnacentral:misc_RNA from 1 species